rnacentral:rRNA from 1 species
UACGAAGGGGGCUAGCGUUGCUCGGAAUCACUGGGCGUAAAGCGCACGUAGGCGGCUUACUAAGUCAGGGGUGAAAUCCUGGAGCUCAACUCCAGAACUGCCUUUGAUACUGGUGAGCUUGAGUCCGGAAGAGGUGAGUGGAACUGCGAGUGUAGAGGUGAAAAUUCGUAGAUAUUCGCAAGAACACCAGUGGCGAAGGCGGCUCACUGGUCCGGUACUGACGCUGAGGUGCGAAAAGCGUGGGGAGCAAACAGG